UACGGGGGGAGCAAGCGUUGUUCGGAUUUACUGGGCGUAAAGGGCGCGUAGGCGGCCACCGCAAGUCGACUGUGAAAUCUCCGGGCUUAACCCGGAAAGGUCAGCCGAUACUGCGGGCUAGAGUGCAGAAGGGGCAACUGGAAUUCUCGGUGUAGCGGUGAAAUGCGUAGAUAUCGAGAGGAACACCUGCGGCGAAGGCGGGUUGCUGGGCUGACACGUGACGCUGAGGCGCGAAAGCGUGGGUAGCAAACAGG
rnacentral:rRNA from 1 species